UGGUUUUGCUGAUUUCCGGACGGUGGUCUCGGAAGCCGAGAGACCGAGCGGGAAGCAGAAGAAAGGAUGGAACUUCCUGAAGGUGGCUUAGGAGGGAGAACACGGGAGAGCCAGUUUCCCAGCGGAGUGAAAGGCGAUGGGGAGACGUUACUAAGGGAAAAUGUUACGGAGAAACAGGGAACGCGGAAUAACGUGUUUCCAUCACAAGUGAAGUAGAGGCCAGGAAACAGUCUGAUGUGGGUUGAGAAGCAUCCCUGGGUGGUGCCCUGCUCAUCAAGAUGCAGGGAUCUACGACUCUGUCGUGCUUAAGAUUUGGCCUUGUAGUCACUGCAGAAAGGAGAGGGGACUUCGAAACCUGGACUGAUGCUCACAGACUUUCUGGACAAAGCGUUACCCUGGGGCACUGGUAACUCAAAGGACAGAGAUUUUCUGAGGCUUUUCUUACUGUUUUGUCUGUACCUGAUCAGUCCUCUGUUCAUUUUCAAAUACCCUCUGAAAAAAUACUCUUUGUACCUUUGCCAACAAACCCCAUAGUUCCUUAAUCUCCUCUUUUCCUUCAUAAUUACUUUCAAACAUUUUACUACAUCUCAGGGUUCUAUACAUAUUGAAAGAAUGA